rnacentral:misc_RNA from 1 species
UUUCCGUAGGUGAACCUGCGGAAGGAUCAUUAAUGAGUUGUCAUGGGGUUCGAUGCUGGCAGCCAGUUUUUGGAUGCAUGUGCUUGCCCUAACAAUCAUCUUCUUCCAAACACCUGUGCACAUUUUUGAGGGAGUCUUGAGUUGGUUGCCGCUCUUGGGUGAUUUUCUCACAUUCCCUUAAAUCAUUAUACGCUAUUAACAAUGUUGAACGUGCUCUGUGCCGCAAGGACAUUAAUAUAAUACAACUUUUAACAACGGAUCUCUUGGCUCUC